AUUGGGCUUUUGUUUCAAUAGAAAAUAUAAGCUUGCCAGCCCAGCUUAAAACAAAGAGACCAAGAUCUUCGCCAUGUCGAUUUCUAAAACUAGGGUUCAUCGUCUUCUUCAGCCUUGACAACCUAAGCCAUCAAUGGAGUUUCAGGAGGUUGAGUGAGAUGAAUCGUCAUGCAAAAUCUAUGUGUCCGGUUCGAUUGUCGUUUCAUCUUAUGAUCCUUCCUCUACUUUAGAACGUUACCUGAUUCAUUGAAUCAUUGCCUUUAACAACCUUCUUAACUCAGCAAGAUAAAACAUUCAAUGUUUGGGAUCUUAUAUCUCUUCUAGACGGUGGAUCUCCAUCUAUAAAAAGGACAGCUUUCAUCCCUGAUAACAUCAUUCUCACAACUCCUGACAAUACUAAAAACUUAUUUUCAGUUUAGUGCUUCUUAUUCUGAUCGUUCUCACAAUUCAUCGGACGAUCAAGAUGCCCAUAAAAGAUCCUUCAAUCAAUCCUCCCAAUACGUCUUGCUUUUGGAAGGUCCGAAUGUGAAGAGGAGGUGCGCUCAAGAAGACAAUGAAGAAGAAUCGUUUUUCUACUCACCUCACCAGAUCCAACGGCUUGAAACGGCUUUCGAUGAGUGUCUGACAUUCAGAUGAGAAACAGAUGAUGCAACUUAGCUUUGAUGAACAGAAGCUUCAGUUGAAACUGCACAGCUUAGAGAAGAGUUUCUAGCGUUUUCUUUAUGAAACCUCUUUCAUGCAUUGUGAUUGAUCUUAGAGAUUAAACUUCCACUAACAUCUUUUUUGGCAGCUUGAGAGGGUUUCAAGCAUUGCAGCUAAAUCAUGAGAGGCCAUUUUUUCAUCUCCCACCACUACUAAACCAGAUGCACGUUUCUCCAUUACAGUUACUCCACAAUGGUCUUUUGCUUGAUUUUAAUCUUCUUCCAGGAAGUUGUUCUUCAAUGACUGCCUCGAAUUUACCGUAUAUUGGUUAUCUCAGACAUGGAUAAGUGUCUGACGAUUAACAUUGAUGUGACCGCUAUGAAAGAAUUGCUUAGGCUUACACAAACUAAUGAGCCUCUGUGGAUCAAAACAGAUGGAUGCCUAGACGUUCUCAGUCUCAAAAGCUAUGAGAAUGCAUUCCCAAGAUUGAGUAGUCGUGGAGGAAAGAACCACAACCUUAGAGUGGAAGUAAUAGAUCUUCUUGCAUUGUUUUCACUAAUGCAGAGACACUUGUGGAGAUGCUCAUGGACUCUGUCAAAGCUUGAGAGCUUUUUCCUUCAGUCGUUGCAGCAUCUAAAACUCUUGGAGUGGUUUCAUCUAGAUUGCGUGGAAAUCACGGUGAUGCCUUACAUUUGACAACAACAUGAUCUGAAGGCAGUGGGAUGAUUCUGGAAGAUCAAAGACGUGACUGUUUCGGUUUUGUAUUUUGGAAUCAAUAAGAUUAGCUCUGUUAAGCCUCUGGAAUCAAAAAGAAAAAAGAUUAGCUCUGUUUUGCGACACUCACCGAAUGCUACUUCAAUUAUUUUUAUAUGAAACUCUACUUUCGUUUCAGAGCA